rnacentral:rRNA from 1 species
CAGUAGCCACGGUAAUACAGAGGGUGCGAGCGUUAAUCGGAUUUACUGGGCGUAAAGCGUGCGUAGGCGGCUUCUUAAGUCGGAUGUGAAAUCCCUGAGCUUAACUUAGGAAUUGCAUUCGAUACUGGGAAGCUAGAGUAUGGGAGAGGAUGGUAGAAUUCCAGGUGUAGCGGUGAAAUGCGUAGAGAUCUGGAGGAAUACCGAUGGCGAAGGCAGCCAUCUGGCCUAAUACUGACGCUGAGGUACGAAAGCAUGGGGAGCAAACAUGAUUAGAUACCCCUGUAGUCCCUGUCUCUUAUAC